rnacentral:rRNA from 1 species
ACCGGUUGGGCCCUCAAUAUGAAAGUCGACGCUUCUUUCCUCCCGAGUGCUUGCACUCAAUUGGAAAGAGGAGUGGCGGAAAUAGAGUAACACGUGGGUAACCUACCCAUCAGAGGGGGAAAAUACUUGGAAACAGGUGCUAAUACCGCAUAACAGUUUAUGCCGCAUGGCAUAAGAGUGAAAGGCGCUUUCGGGUGUCGCUGAUGGAUGGACCCGCGGUGCAUUAGCUAGUUGGUGAGGUAACGGCUCACCAAGGCCACGAUGCAUAGCCGACCUGAGAGGGUGAUCGGCCACACUGGGACUGAGACACGGCCCAGACUCCUACGGGAGGCAGCAGUAGGGAAUCUUCGGCAAUGGACGAAAGUCUGACCGAGCAACGCCGCGUGAGUGAAGAAGGUUUUCGGAUCGUAAAACUCUGUUGUUAGAGAAGAACAAGGACGUUAGUAACUGAACGUCCCCUGACGGUAUCUAACCAGAAAGCCACGGCUAACUACGUGCCAGCAGCCGCGGUAAUACGUAUGUGGCAAGCGUUGUCCGGAUUUAUUGGGCGUAAAGCGAGCGCAGGCGGUUUCUUAAGUCUGAUGUGAAAGCCCCCGGCUCAACCGGGGAGGGUCAUUGGAAACUGGGAGACUUGAGUGCAGAAGAGGAGAGUGGAAUUCCAUGUGUAGCGGUGAAAUGCGUAGAUAUAUGGAGGAACACCAUUGUCGAAUGCGGCUCUCUGGUCUGUAACUGACGCUGAGGCUCGAAAGCGUGGGGGAGCAAACAGGGAUUAGAUACCCUGGGUAGUCCACGCCGUAAACGAUGAGUGCUUAAUUGUUGGGAGGGUUUCCCGCCCUUCAGUGCUGCAGCAAACGCAUUAAUCACUCCGCCUGGGGGAGUACUACCGCAAGGUUGAAAACUCAAAGGAAUUGACGGGGGGCCCCGCACCAGCCGGUGGGAGCCAUG